rnacentral:rRNA from 1 species
AACGCUAGCUACAGGCUUAACACAUGCAAGUCGAGGGGCAGCAUCAUCAAAGCUUGCUUUGAUGGAUGGCGACCGGCGCACGGGUGAGUAACACGUAUCCAACCUGCCGACAACACUGGGAUAGCCUUUCGAAAGAAAGAUUAAUACCGGAUGGCAUAGUUUUCCCGCAUGGGAUAAUUAUUAAAGAAUUUCGGUUGUCGAUGGGGAUGCGCUCCAUUAGGCAGUUGGCGGGGUAACGGCCCACCAAACCUACGAUGGAUAGGGGUUCUGAGAGGAAGGUCCCCCACAUUGGAACUGAGACACGGUCCAAACUCCUACGGGAGGCAGCAGUGAGGAAUAUUGGUCAAUGGACGAGAGUCUGAACCAGCCAAGUAGCGUGAAGGAUGACUGCCCUAUGGGUUGUAAACUUCUUUUAUACGGGAAUAAAGUGAGCCACGUGUGGCUUUUUGUAUGUACCGUAUGAAUAAGGAUCGGCUAACUCCGUGCCARCAGCCGCGGUAAUACGGAGGAUCCGAGCGUUAUCCGGAUUUAUUGGGUUUAAAGGGAGCGUAGGCGGGUUGUUAGGUCAGUUGUGAAAGUUUGCGGCUCAACCGUAAAAUUGCAGUUGAUACUGGCGACCUUGAGCGCAACAGAGGUAGGCGGAAUUCGUGGUGUAGCGGUGAAAUGCUUAGAUAUCACGAAGAACUCCGAUUG